UUUGCAUUGCAGCAGCCUGGGUGAGCAGGAACCAAAAUGCAAUAAAACUGCUGCCAACUUUCCAGAGAGCAGACGAAGGCAGAGAUCCCAGCGCUGCAGCCCAGCCUUUGAGGUCUGGUUUUUCUCCAGGCUGUCUGGAAUUCUCCCUGUCAGGCCCUGCCUCACGCCUUAGAUCCCCUGGAGGCGAUGAAGCCUGUGACCCAUACGCCACACUCUUUGUAGAAAGGAGUUCGUAACGAUUAUAAGAAGACUUAAAACUUCAAUACUGAAGACUUCAUGCAAAGGGUCUUGAUAGAAAUAACUAUGGAGAGAAA
rnacentral:lncRNA from 1 species